rnacentral:lncRNA from 1 species
GUUGUAGCACAUAUAAAUGCAAUUUCCAGGCACUGACUAUAACUUUUGAGAGGACUUUUUCCUCAGCCAAAAAAAAAAAAAAAAAAUACUGCUUUUGUAUUUGUCAAAUGUUUUACAUGAUGAGGACAAUGUAGUGGUGAUUAUUGCUUGGAGAGGUUAUUGUUUGUUUUGGGGGGUUUUUGUUUGUUGAAACAAUGUCUCAUUAUGUAGUUCAGGCUGACCUUGAACUUCUGGCAAUCCUUCUCCCUCAGCCUCUCAAGUGCUGGUAUUACAGGCGUGCACUACCACACCCAACUGUAGAGGAACACCUAUAGAAGCUAAAUCAUCAUCUCAGAGGUACUUGAAAUUAAACUCAACAUGAUGAGAAUACACUAAGAGAGGCUGAAGGACACAUUUUUGAAAGGGCUAGUGGAACUGGGAAUCAAAGACUUCUUAUGGCUAUGAGUUAUAGGCAUAGUCAAAGACUGCUAAUAGGCAUUGAGGGAAGAGACUACAGAUGGCUAACUACCAAAGCCUUCAGAAGCAAAGAAAAUGUAUUCAGAGACAAAGGGGAAAAGUUUUGAGCAUCAGUCACCUGCACAUCAACCCUACCAAAGUAAGCAGAGCUGCAGAGGUUAUGAAAGAGGCUUCUGAUGCAUGACUUCCCCAAAGCGGAAAGCCCUUUUAGCAGGUGUAAUUAUUAGGACUCUCUGACACUGGCUUUCUUUUAUAUUUAACUUCACAACCGUUAGUGACACUGUUUCAGGCUCAAGCAUCUGGUUUUCCCGUGCUUGUGUUCCACCUACUUGUGAUGGAAUGUACGUCACAGUCCAGCUGAGACAGCCAGCCAGGUGAUGUGGCACCUCAAGGCCUUCAUGACUGAGGGCUGGAAUAAAGCAAGGGGUGAAUUCAACUGGCACUGCAAAAUGAAACUUUAAAAGUUCGACUUUUUUCUUUUAGAGAUAAGCAACUUCUCCAUACUUUUUCAUGCUGAGCACACAGCUAACACCCUCUUCUCUCCUCAAACUAAAAGCAAGGACAGAAUAUGCAGAUAUUAUGCACCCCAGGAGGCCAGGAGCCUGGUUUCCUUUUCACAAGAAAGUGGAGAUGAGCUGAAGAGGGCUGGAAGUGAUAAAGCAAGCAUGGAGACUCUAUUCCUUACUGUAAAAGACCCUUGCCCACCUGUACAUGGAGAGAUGGUGAUUUGAGGCAAAAAGGCCCCUGCAUCUCCUCAGAGCCAGCUUUGAAUAAAUUCUUUUUUCCUUUUUACUAAAAUAUGUUGUCAGUGGCAAGCAAACGAACCUGAGCAUAUAAAAUUAAGUAGCCAGUAACAUUCUCGUAAGCUUUUCUAUCACGGUAGAAGGAACCUUAGCUUUCUGGCUUCUCAGACUAAAAUCCUUCAAGUUGUGAUUGAUUGUCAUUCUCUACUUCAUAUCUGAACCAUCAGCACAUCCUAUCUACUCUUCUUUCAAACUACAUCUGGAAUUCAACCACUUCUCACCAUUUUUCUUGCUGCCACCUUUGUCCAGGUCAUCAUUUUGUAUCACAGUAACCUCCUAAGCAUUUCCCUGAUUCUCCCUGGGUCUCCUCUAGUAGACAGCAUAGUCGUUCAGUUUUUUAAUUUUUUGGUGCUGGAGAAUUGAACCCAGGGACAUGCUAAGUUCAUGCCGAGCUAGAUCCCC